rnacentral:lncRNA from 1 species
UAAAGUAGAAUGACGGUAAAGCAUAAUCAAAUGUUAGGUUAUAUUAUGAAAUAACUUUGAUUUAUUGAAAAUUUUUAAAUAAAAAAUAACAGUUUCGUAAUAAUUAAAAUUAAUAUUUUCUUUUAAACAAUAGCUCGACGAGCAAUUACAUUAUAACCAUUUAAUUUCGUGUGAAUUUUUAAUGGUUUUAUAAAUAUAAUAAUAUCAGACAGCUAAGCAAAGAAGAUUAAUUACCUACAAAUAAAUCUUUAUUUGUAUCAAAUAAAUGCUGAAAAAUAAUUUUAAUGAAUUCGUUUAGUCCCACCAAAUAUAUUCUUCUAUCAGUGUGGUUGCAGCAAAAACAAUUACAGCUGUUAUUGAAUGAAGCGUCAAAAUACAUAAUAAAUUUGAAAAAUGACCAAAAACAUAUUCUAGAAUUAUAUUUGAACCGCUAUUUUAGCUUGCUUGUCUUUACAUCUAUAUCUUGCAUCGGAACUAUCAUCAUAUAUGCUUUUAGUCCACUAGUGUUACCACAAAUUUUCGUCACUGACUCCGUAGAGUAUCCUUUUAAAAUUUAAACAUUAUCAAUCCUUCAUCUGACCAUUUAUUUUGGGCAAGUCAUAGCAGCUUUUCAAUGUGGAAUUGUGUCUAUGCUCAUAAUAGCUAUUAACACGAUAUUAGCGACUAUUGUCACUACAAAAUUACAAGCUUUAGCAAUUAAAAUUCAAAAAGCAAGAAACGAAGACCAAUUCAAAAAUUGUAUUCGAAAACAUCAGAAUAUAAUAAGAUACGCCAAAAAAAUAGACCAUGUGAUGCGUUUUAUUAUUCUUAAAACUUAUAUUUUUAUAGCAAUGACAGGAAUUUUUGCUGCAAUUCAAAUUUUCUUUCCGAGAAAUAUCUUUCAUGUACUUGGAGCUCUUCUUUACAUUACAACUUGUCUAAUAGGAGUUUACAUAUUUGCUUGGGCAGCUGAUGAUAUGUAAGACGCUAGCAUAAACAUAAGUUGGGCAGUCUAUAAUUUAAACUGGACAAAUUGUUCUCCAAAAAUGCGAAAGUUAAUGGUCAUCAUGAUGUCUCGAGCAAAAAAACCUUUAGAUAUUUCUGUUAAUGGAAUUCUUCCUGCAUUGACAUUAGAAUUUUUCGCUAAAUUUAUACUAUUCAUAAUUUCAUAUUUCAUGACAUUACGUGCAUUAGUAAUUCGUACGUAAUCUAUCUCAAUUAUUCAAAUAUGAAGACAGGGAAAUUUGCAGCGUACAGAAUUUUUUAUCACCAUAAGCACUAUGCUACAAUAAUUGAGCAUUAAUUUGAGAAUCAAAUAUAUUUUUUUUUAGUAUAAAAAUAAAAUUUAAUUGUCUUUAUUUAUGUAUAUAUAUAUAUACAUAAUAUAUAUUGAUAUGUAAAAAAUAUACAAUAUAUAAUACAUAUUAUAUAUGUGAACAAAUUAACAAUCAUUGGUAACACAGGCAACCUAGUGCAAUCACACAACAGAAAGCAAUCUAUCGGCACUAUAAACUUAACAUUAAGAACAAUUCGCUGUAAAAUAGAUAAUUUUGUACAUAAAUACUUCUGUUUUAAUAUUCUCGACUACAAUAAGAUUAUUUUGGAUCUUUUUUGUUUAAUUUUAAUAGAUGGAAUGUAAAAAAAUUAUUUUUCACUGUUUAUUUUGUAUACAAUAAUAAUGUUCUCAGCUAAUAAAUGCUAAAUAGACAUUACAAAAAGUAAGGAAUGACCAGUACGGUUUUUUACAUUUAUUUUAUAUCAUACUUUAUAUAUAACAGAAUACGAAAUCAUUUAUACUACACAAUAUUUAUACAAUAAUUAUUCAUAGUUUAUAACUACUAGUAUAAAUAUUUAG